CCUACGGGGGGCAGCAGUGGGGGAUAUUGCACAAUGGGGGGAACCCUGAUGCAGCGACGCCGCGUGGGUGAAGGAGUGCUUCGGCAUGUAAAGCCCUAUCGGCAGGGAAGAAGCAAGACGGUACCUGACUAAGAAGCCCCGGCUAACUACGUGCCAGCAGCCGCGGUAAUACGUAGGGGGCGAGCGUUAUCCGGAUUCACUGGGUGUAAAGGGAGCGUAGACGGCUAAUCAAGUCAGAAGUGAAAACCCAGGGCUCAACCUUGGGAGUGCUUUUGAAACUGAGUAGCUAGAGUGCAGGAGAGGUAAGCGGAAUUCCUAGUGUAGCGGUGAAAUGCGUAGAUAUUAGGAGGAACACCAGUGGCGAAGGCGGCUUACUGGACUGUAACUGACGUUGAGGCUCGAAAGCGUGGGGAGCAAACAGGAUUAGAUACCCCGGUAGUC
rnacentral:rRNA from 1 species